AACGUAGGACACAAGCGUUAUCCGGAAUUACUGGGCGUAAAGGGCGUGCAGGCGGUUGCGUAAGUUAGGCGUGAAAGACUUCGGCUAAACCGGGGGAGGUCGUCUGAUACUGCGCAACUAGAGUAUGGUAGAGGCGUGUAGAAUUCUGGGUGUAGUGGUGAAAUGCGUAGAGAUCCGGAGGAAUACCGGUGGCGAAGGCGGCAUCCUGGACCAUUACUGACGCUGAGGCGCGAAAGCUAGGGGAGCAAACGGG
rnacentral:rRNA from 1 species